GUAGUAUUCCCUCCGUCCCAAAAUUCUUGUCUUACAUUUGUUUACAUACGGAUGUAUCUAACACUAAAAUGUAACUAGAUACAUCCAUAUGUAGACAAAUUUAAGACAAGAAUUUUGGGACGGAGGGAGUACAAA
rfam:Triticum aestivum genome assembly, contig: Triticum_aestivum_CS42_TGACv1_scaffold_580756_7BL